rnacentral:tRNA from 1 species
GCCGAUGUGAUGGAAUUGGCAGACGUAGCGGACUCAAAAUCCGCCGCUGGUGACAGCAUGCCGGUUCGACCCCGGCCAUCGGCACCA